rnacentral:rRNA from 1 species
GACGGGUGAGUAAUGCCUAGGAAUCUGCCUGGUAGUGGGGGACAACGUUUCGAAAGGAACGCUAAUACCGCAUACGUCCUACGGGAGAAAGCAGGGGACCUUCGGGCCUUGCGCUAUCAGAUGAGCCUAGGUCGGAUUAGCUAGUUGGUGAGGUAAUGGCUCACCAAGGCGACGAUCCGUAACUGGUCUGAGAGGAUGAUCAGUCACACUGGAACUGAGACACGGUCCAGACUCCUACGGGAGGCAGCAGCC